GAUGAACGCUAGCUACAGGCUUAACACAUGCAAGUCGAGGGGCAGCAUGACUGAAGCUUGCUUCAGUUGAUGGCGACCGGCGUACGGGUGCGUAACGCGUAUCCAACCUGCCCUCUACUCCGGAACAGCCCGUCGAAAGGCGGAUUAAUGCCGGAUGGUGUCCACUUGGUGCAUGCCAUGGUGGACUAAAGGUAACGGUAGAGGAUGGGGAUGCGACUGAUUAGGUAGACGGCGGGGUAACGGCCCACCGUGCCGACGAUCAGUAGGGGUUCUGAGAGGAAGGUCCCCCANACUGGAACUGAGACACGGUCCAGACUCCUACGGGAGGCAGCAGUGAGGAAUAUUGGUCAAAUGGACGGAAGUCUGACCAGCCAAGUAGCGUGCAGGAUGAC
rnacentral:rRNA from 1 species